GCAAGGGAAGAACUUGUCUGAUUCUGAUACAUUGACUGCUCCAGUUGAGAAAUUUGACAAUCGGUCUCUGGUUAGGAGACAAUCGUAUAUCGAAAUGAUGAUUUUUCAAGAGAGGUGGCAUAAAGCCAUCAAGCAAGAUCAAUGUUGGGUUGAACCAUUUCAAAGUCAAGAAAAAGGAAAAAC